AGAAUCAACGCUGGCGGCGUGCCUAACACAUGCAAGUCGAACGAGAAAGGGUAGCAAUACCUGAGUAAAGUGGCGCACGGGUGAGUAACACGUGACUAACCUACCCUGGAGUGGGGGGAUAACUGAGGGAAACCUUAGCUAAUACCGCAUAAUACCUACGGGUCAAAGGAGCAAUUCGCUUUGGGAGGGGGUCGCGGUCGAUUAGUUAGUUGGCGGGGUAAUGGCCCACCAAGACUUUGAUCGAUAUCCGGCCUGAGAGGGCGCACGGACACACUGGAACUGAAACACGGUCCAGACUCCUACGGGAGGCAGCAGUGGGGAAUUUUGCGCAAUGGGGGAAACCCUGACGCAGCAACGCCGCGUGGAGGAUGAAGUACUUCGGUACGUAAACUCCUUUCGAUCGGGACAUAAUGACGGUACCGGAAGAAGAAGCCCCGGCUAACUUCGUGCCAGCAGCCGC
rnacentral:rRNA from 1 species